rnacentral:rRNA from 1 species
UACAGAGGGGGCAAGCGUUGUUCGGAAUUACUGGGCGUAAAGGGCGCGUAGGCGGCCUUCUAAGUCGAACGUGAAAUCCCCGGGCUCAACCCGGGAACUGCGUCCGAUACUGGAAGGCUUGAAUCCGGGAGAGGGAUGCGGAAUUCCAGGUGUAGCGGUGAAAUGCGUAGAUAUCGGGAGGAACACCGAUGGCGAAGGCAGCACUCUGGGCCGGCACUGACGCUGAGGAGCGAAAGCGUGGGGAGCGAACAGG